UCAAUUCAAACGGCGGCCUGCGAUGACACAAAAAACAACAACAAUAAUGGCAAUCGAAUUACUAAUGCCAUUCGAAUGAAAGCAUUUAUGUCCCAUCACCCCGUACAGCGUAUGGUUGCAGAGGAGCGGAGUACCCAGAUCUCCCUGGCUUGUGUUCCCGUAUCCAUCACGGCGGAUCGCGUAGAUGGUUUUGUUGCGAAAGGAGCAGCUACUCUGAUAAUUAAGUUCGGGCUUCGUCCACACCAUCAGCUUCAUCAUCUCGUUCGUAAUGGGUCCGUCCUGUGGAGGAGGUUAUGCAGGUUGCGUUCUUUGGCAUCUCAUGCUCUGGCAGCAUCGUCUGACUGUAGUGCAGGUUCCUGGGGACAAAGCUCUUCAGCUGCAGCAGGGCCAAGUCAUGGCAAUAUGCUCUGUACUUGGGAUGCAGGACAAUCCUCUUCACGGCAAUCUUCUUCUCACUGACUGGCUCGUCAAGGCGGUUUAAGGUAUCGAGCACCACCAUCAGAUUUCUUCUUUCAGUGGGGUAGCAGCAGGAGCUGGAAGGCCUCACGGAGACGCAGCGAGCUGUGGUUACAACCCAAGAGGACGUGAUUAUGAACCCGCCGCAAAAGUGGUUGUCGCCCCAAAACCGAAUUGGCUUUGCAGUGCGAAUCGACACUACGAACUUGGAAUCAUCCAGGAUAUUUUGAUCCCAAUCUACCGAUGGUUUCCUGUCUAUAACCUGGAUUUCACAGAACACAGGCACGAAGAGCAUCAGAGACAGUAGCACACGGAUGACUGCCCUCAUUUUCGAUUUCCAAUCGCAAGAAGCAGAGUUUUUGUCAAUUCCGGAAAGGAUAAAGAGAAAUGUAUUGGAUCAUCUAUAGCAAACACGAUGGCAUAUUUGCCUAGAAGCGACUGGUGAUGCUGUUAAAGGAAAACUGGCACAAGAAUUUCAGUCGCGAAACCAAGCAAGACACGUUUGCACAGACGCAACUGUUGAUGCUUACCAACAGAAUCUGUACUAGACGCGACUGUUGAUGAAUGAGGACAAUUUAUUAAAGACUCGACUGUUGUUCGUAUUUUUAAUCAUAUUUUGCGAUUCCAACUGAACGAGGUGUCACCCCGUAUUCGAUGCUGUCUUUAUCAGCAGACGACUGCCCUCUCUCUCUCUAUCUGCACUCUGUCUGCCUGUGUGUCUUUCUCUCCGUCUCCUAUCACCUUCGCCCACUCCCUUGUUUCGGGGGAGCACUUGACUUCCGCUGAGGAACACAAAACGAAGCAAAA